rnacentral:rRNA from 1 species
GGCUCAGAUGAAACGCUGGCGGCAUGCUUUACACAUGCAAGUCGAACGGCAGCGCGGGCUUCGGCCUGGCGGCGAGUGGCGAACGGGUGAGUAAUAUAUCGGAACGUACCCAAGAGUGGGGGAUAACGUAGCGAAAGUUACGCUAAUACCGCAUACGAUCUAUGGAUGAAAGCAGGGGACCUUCGGGCCUUGUGCUCCUGGAGCGGCCGAUAUCUGAUUAGCUAGUUGGUGAGGUAAAGGCUCACCAAGGCAACGGUCAGUAGCUGGUCUGAGAGGACGACCAGCCACACUGGAACUGAGACACGGUCCAGACUCCUACGGGAGGCAGCAGUGGGGAAUUUUGGACAAUGGGGGCAACCCUUAUCCAGCAAUGCCGCGUGAGUGAAGAAGGCCUUCGGGUUGUAAAGCUCUUUUGUCAGGGAAGAAAAGGGAGUGGCUAAUAUCCAUUCCUGCUGACGGUACCUGAAGAAUAAGCACCGGCUAACUACGUGCCAGCAGCCGCGGUAAUACGUAGGGUGCAAGCGUUAAUCGGAAUUACUGGGCGUAAAGCGUGCGCAGGCGGUUUUGUAAGUCUGUCGUGAAAUCCCCGGGCUUAACCUGGGAAUGGCGAUGGAGACUGCAAGGCUAGAAUCUGGCAGAGGGGGGUAGAAUUCCACGUGUAGCAGUGAAAUGCGUAGAGAUGUGGAGGAACACCGAUGGCGAAGGCAGCCCCCUGGGUCAAGAUUGACGCUCAUGCACGAAAGCGUGGGGAGCAAACAGGAUUAGAUACCCUGGUAGUCCACGCCCUAAACGAUGUCAACUAGUUGUCGGGUCUUAAUUGACUUGGUAACGCAGCUAACGCGUGAAGUUGACCGCCUGGGGA